rnacentral:rRNA from 1 species
UACGUAGGGUCCGAGCGUUGUCCGGAAUUAUUGGGCGUAAAGAGCUCGUAGGCGGUUCGGCAAGUCAGCUGUGAAAUCUCCACGCUCAACGUGGAGGGGUCAGCUGAUACUGCUGUGACUUGAGUCCGGUAGGGGAGUGUGGAAUUCCCGGUGUAGCGGUGAAAUGCGCAGAUAUCGGGAGGAACACCAGUAGCGAAGGCGGCACUCUGGGCCGGUACUGACGCUGAGGAGCGAAAGCGUGGGGAGCAAACAGG